UACGAAGGGGGCUAGCGUUGUUCGGAAUCACUGGGCGUAAAGCGCACGUAGGCGGAUGUGUCAGUCAGGGGUGAAAUCCCGGAGCUCAACUUCGGAACUGCCUCUGAUACAGCACGUCUUGAGUCCGGAAGAGGUGGGUGGAAUCCCUAGUGUAGAGGUGAAAUUCGUAGAUAUUAGGAAGAACACCGGGGGCGAAGGCGGCCCACUGGUCCGGUACUGACGCUGAGGUGCGAAAGCGUGGGGAGCAAACAGG
rnacentral:rRNA from 1 species